AGUCAUUUUACUAAAGUUAGGGUUCGUCGCCGUCCACUCCCCCUAUAUAUUGAGUAGGAGGCCAACACCGUCUCGCCACGGUCUCUUCUUCGUUGGCUUCGCCGUCUCCUCCAAAUUACGACCUUCAAUCUACUGCCUGACAUGGAUUCUCUCGUUCAUGCGCUCACUUGUAGUGCUGAUGAGUGGGCCAGUGAUAAGAAACAAGAUCAAUUGUCUGUACCAUCUGAGAUCCGUAAUGGCCUUUGGGCGGUGAUGAGCCAGAAAAAAGAUACCAUCAAACUCAGAAGAAGAUAACGAUGUCGAUACAUCUACUAGCCUCUGAGCCAGCCAUUUCUUGGUCUUUUUUUUUUCUCUCUUCUUUGGACUUUCUUGGACAAAAAAAAGAAUGAUUUUUAUUGGUUUUUGUUUGAUUUCUUUCGAUCGGAGAUGGAAUCGGAUCGAAAGUGGAGGCAACAAAUUAGAGUCUCUGAUGCGCUUCUUUUAAUAGCGUCGUCAGCGCUGUACGUUGCCGAGAACGAGGCAAGGCUGAGAUUCUGGCAUAUGCCAUUCGUAUUAUUUGGCUUAUGCAUUCAGAUGCUCGACAUCUCGAAAUCUGGUUUUAUGUGAUUUCUUUGAGAAUAAUCGUCGUCAAACGUAUACUGAAGUUGGAAUUUAUUAUGUCUAAUUGUCACAAUAUUGUAUGCGUUUCUUUUUGGUCUUUGUGAGAGAUUUGUUCGUUCUUUUUAGUCUUUGUGAUAACAUUCAUUUGUCAUUUAUAGAUUUUGUGGAAAUCUUGGGGUAGGAACUAAGUAGGUAGUAGCUUCAGUUUAUGUGCGAUCAACUUGUCUGGGUGUCUGGCCUCACCAACAAUGUCGAUUGAAGGUUGCAGUGUGGCUCAUAUGGAAUUGGUUUGUUUUUUGAUUCACCUGGGGAAACAUUACUACAAUGGUCGAGCUUUCAUAAGAUCAUCUAAAAUCUUUUGAAGAAGGAUUUUAGGCAUAAAGGAACCCAAGAAAGAUCUUAACUUUUGAUGUUCAACAAAGUCAUUAAGCAAUUCUAUUGUCUAUUUUGCAACCUUGUAAGUCAAUAAUUCCUAUUGCAUGAGGACCCAUGAAAGGCUCUGUGAUUUGUAUGAGUUCAUUAUUUGAAUUACAAGGCAUUUGCUUUCCACAUGAUCAGGCAGUCAUUAAAAAAGAUACUUCAAUUGGAUCAAGAUAAUAACCUCUGUAUUGGUGCCAUACCUGUUUUUUAGUUAUAGAUCUCCAUGUUCUCUUUUCACAAUGCCUGAUCAAAUGCUGAAAAGUAUGGAUUACCACCUACAUAUGAAGCAGUGUAAUAUCUGCAUGACUGAAUGCAAUUGUAGUUACCUAGUAGUUUUAUUCUAAAAGAAAAAGAAGUGAGAAAACACCUGUGGGAAUACAAAGUCCAGCCAAUGACAUAAUGUGAAUACAAGUAGCCAUUGUCAAGGGCAUGCAUUACAUGUAACCUUCAUGUCAACUAUUUAACUGUUCUUGAUGAAGUUUCAGGAGCUUUCUACUUGGUUGCUGUCAUUAAAUUAACUUUGACAUGCAAAAGCAUGAAAUUUUCUUUGAUCUGAUUGAAGAACAAUUCGAUGGUGAAGUAAGCGAAGCUCUCUUCUGGCGGUUGAUCCAAUCUUUGUGCUAAAUGCCAUAAGCAGCUGCCAUAGACAAAUACAAGUACUAAGAAGUGGCAACUGUUUUGCAGCAAGCAUAAGUAUUUUCACAGAAGACUACUUAACCUCAUGUCAGAACUGAAGCGCAGUAAUAUUAAAUUAAAUUUGCUGAUACCAUUUUAUGGCUUUUGUACAAAUUGCACUAUGAUAAAUGCUCAGUUCCUGUAUCUAAUUUUUUGGGUACGUUCUUAGUGUAAUCUUUUGAGAGAGUAUAUUCAUUCAUUCUUAGUGUUUGAACAAACCGAGGCUUGACAUGUAAUAAAAGCAAAUAUGCAUUCCAAUA